rnacentral:rRNA from 1 species
AGCAGUAGCCGCGGGAAUACAGAGGGUGCAAGCGUUAAUCGGAUUUACUGGGCGUAAAGGGCGCGUAGGUGGUUAUUUAAGUGAGAUGUGAAAGCCCCGGGCUUAACCCGGGAACUGCAUCUUAUACUGGGUAACUGGAGUGCAGUAGAGGGUAGUGGAAUUUCCGGUGUAGCGGUGAAAUGCGUAGAUAUCGGAAGGAACACCAGUGGCGAAGGCGGCUACCUGGACUGAGACUGACACUGAGGCGCGAGAGCGUGGGGAGCAAACAGAAUUAGAUACCCCUGUAGUCCCUGUCUCUUAUAC